rnacentral:lncRNA from 1 species
AGAGGUGGGUUGGCUUCUCCUCCCCCUCCGGUUCGGUUCGGUUCGGUUCGGGUUCGUGAGGUGUUCCGGUUCGGGGGUGAGAGGCAGAGAUGGCGGCGUCGGAUGUUGAGUACCGCUGCUUCGUCGGCGGCCUCGCCUGGGCCACGGACGACAACUCGCUCCACAACGCCUUCAGCCCCUUCGGCGAGGUCCUGGAGUCCAAGGUUAGGAUGAUUUCCUUUGGGGGUGGAGAACAAAACGAGAUUUUUGAAGGGGAAAUGGGGGGAACUGUCCAGAUCUGUGGUGGCGGAGGGUUUGGUGUGCUAGAUCUGAAGUGUUUCUGACAUGAUGCCUUGGCUUUCCCUUGCAGAUCAUCCUCGAUCGCGAGACCCAAAGGUCCCGCGGCUUCGGCUUCGUCACGUUCGCGAGCGAGCAGGCGAUGCGCGACGCCAUCGAGGGGAUGAACGGCAAGGAUCUCGACGGCCGCAGCAUCACCGUCAACGAGGCCCAGUCCCGCAGCGGCGGCGGCGGCUACGGUGGCGGCCGCGGCGGCGGCGGGCGCUACGGCGGCGGUGGUGGCGGCUAUGGCGGCGGUGGCUACGGCGGCGGCGGCGGCGGCUACGGUGGCCGUGGAGGCGGCGGCUACGGUGGCCGUGGAGGCGGCGGCUACGGCGGCGGCGGCGGCGGCGGCUACGGCAACCGCGGCGGCGGCGGCUACGGCAACUCUGAUGGGAACUGGAGGAACUGAGCGGUGGGGCCCGCGUGGCCAAGUUAUCUUGUCGCUACUACUGUUACCAGAGUUAUCCCUAUGUGUCUAGUGUCUUCGUCGUCGUCUCCGACCUGUGUUCGUCUUCUGUUUCCUGUUGUUGC